rnacentral:rRNA from 1 species
CCAGACUCCUACGGGAGGCAGCAGUGGGGGAUAUUGGACAAUGGGGGAAACCCUGAUCCAGCGAUGCCGCGUGAGGGAAGAAGGUUUUCGGAUUGUAAACCUCUGUGGACAGGGACGAUAAUGACGGUACCUGUCAAGAAAGCCCCGGCUAACUACGUGCCAGCAGCCGCGGUAAUACGUAGGGGGCAAGCGUUAUCCGGAUUUACUGGGUGUAAAGGGAGCGUAGACGGCAUGGCAAGUCUGAAGUGAAAGCCCGGGGCUCAACCGCGGGACUGCUUUGGAAACUGUUAAGCUGGAGUGCAGGAGAGGUAAGUGGAAUUCCUAGUGUAGCGGUGAAAUGCGUAGAUAUUAGGAGGAACGCCAGUGGCGAAGGCGGCUUACUGGACUGUAACUGACGUUGAGGCUCGAAAGCGUGGGGAGCAAACAGGAUUAGAUACCCGAGUA